rnacentral:rRNA from 1 species
AUUGAACGCUGGCGGCAGGCCUAACACAUGCAAGUCGAGCGAGCGGCGGACGGGUGAGUAAUGUCUGGGAAACUGCCUGAUGGAGGGGGAUAACUACUGGAAACGGUAGCUAAUACCGUAUACCAUCAGAUGUGCCCAGCUGGGAUUAGCUAGUAGGUGGGGUAACGGCUCACCUAGGCGACGAUCCCUAGCUGGUCUGCGCGGAUGACCAGCCACACUGGCACUGAGACACGGUCCAGACUCCUACGGGAGGCAGCAGUAGGGAAUAUUGCACAAUGGGCGCAAGCCUGAUGCAGCCAUGCCGCGUGUGUGAAGAAGGCCUUCGGGUUGUAAAGCACUGUCGGCGGGGAGGCGUUACCCGCAGAAGAAGCACCGGCUAACUCCGUGCCAGCAGCCGCGGUAAUUC